rfam:Thielavia terrestris NRRL 8126 chromosome 1, complete sequence.
GGCCUUGUAGCGUAAUGGCUAACGCGUUACUUUCCGGUGGUAAAGAUUCCAGGUUCGAGUCCUGGCAGGGUCG